GUCAACGUAGAAGUGCAACGUCUGAAGUGCGCCACCGCCCAUCCAUGUGAACGAAGCAUCGAUUACCACGAACUAUCUUCUGAUAGUGUUCCUUUUUUAAAAAAUCUUAUAUUGCUUUAUUAUAUAUAUAUUUUUGAAUUUCUUGGCCCUGACACUCUCCAACCAACAAAGAAACUGCAUUUUUCAAGUUAUUUUUACCAAUUUUUACAUACUCGUACAUUUCGUUUAUCAUAGAAAACAUCUUGCCAUUCAUACGAAUGCCUUUGUCUGAUCUGAUCGUGUCAACAUGCUAAUCCGUUCUUUUCGCUGGCCGAAGCCCCGUGUCAAAUUUUGCAUCUUUCCAUUGAUACGUAUCUAAUAGAAGCAUUCUGGCAUGUGUCAGGCAACAAGUUACAUGAAUGGCAUGGUUCCCUUUGGGUGCCAAGCCUGGCCUACACCCUCCGUAAUUGAAACUGUUUGCUGGUGUGAUAGGUUUGGUAUUAUGAAAGAUUUUGUUCAUUUGUUUGUUUUUGUGCUUAGGUCUUGGAUCAAGUAAUUACAUGGACGUGGAGUGGCUAUAUGGGACUUAAUUUCUCUUCUGUUGGUUGAGUUGGAGAAACAGGGAUUGGUAAGAAUGGGAAGAAAGCAUAAUUAACACCUCAACUUUUGUUAUUUUGUCUAUUUGGCAGGACCAACAAUUUUAUUUCCACUCUCAUCAUUAGAAUUCUGGUAUGGUAGCUGUUGUUGCAGGACACUCCUUGGUUUGUUAGUUAGGAGACAGCAUACCAAGAUCAAGUCCAAGAGAUCUAAUUUACAGGCCGGCAACACAAUAUAGAUUGUUCAACUUUGUUUUCUUGCCUUGGUGGUGUAAUUGAAUUAUAUUUAAAUUCAAAAUUUUUUGAAGCUAUUUACCUACUAGUGAGAAAGGCAUGUGUGAAAAGUUGCUGAAAUGUGUGAACAGAGCAAUAUGCAUGUUCCCCUUUGGGUGCCAAGCCUGGCCUACACCCUUUGUAAUUGAAACUGUUUGCUGUUGUGAUAGGGUGUUGGAUCAAGUAAUAACAUGGAGGUGGAGUGGCAAUAUGGGACUUAAUUUCUCUUCUGUUGGUCUAGGUGGAGAAACAGGGAUUGGCAGGACCAACAAUUUUAUUUCCACUCUCAUCUUUAGAAUUCUUGUAUGGUAGCUGUUGCUGCAGGACACUCUCCUUGGUUUGUUACUUAGGAGACAGCAUACCAAGAGCAAGUCCAAGAGAUCUAAUUUACAGGCCGGCAACACAAUAUAGAUUGUUUAACUUUGUUUUCUUGCCUUGGUGGUGUAAUUGAAUUAUAUUGGAAUUUAAAAGUUUUUGAAGCUA